rnacentral:rRNA from 1 species
UACAGAGGGGGCAAGCGUUGUUCGGAAUUACUGGGCGUAAAGGGCGCGUAGGCGGCAGGCCAAGUCGGGAGUGAAAGCCCGGGGCUCAACCCCGGAAUGUCUUUCGAAACUGGCCAGCUGGAGUGCGGAAGAGGCAACUGGAAUUCCCAGUGUAGCGGUGAAAUGCGUAGAUAUUGGGAAGAACACCUGAGGCGAAGGCGGGUUGCUGGGCCGACACUGACGCUGAGGCGCGAAAGCCAGGGGAGCAAACGGG